UACGUAGGGUGCGAGCGUUGUCCGGAAUUACUGGGCGUAAAGAGCUCGUAGGCGGUUUGUCGCGUCGUCCGUGAAAACUUGGGGCUCAACCCCAAGCUUGCGGGCAAUACGGGCAGACUUGAGUACUGCAGGGGAGACUGGAAUUCCUGGUGUAGCGGUGAAAUGACGCAGAUAUCAGGAGGAACACCGGUGGCGAAGGCGGGUCUCUGGGCAGUAACUGACGCUGAGGAGCGAAAGCGUGGGGAGCGAACAGG
rnacentral:rRNA from 1 species